UGCGUAGGGUGCAGGCGUUAAUCGGAAUUACUGGGCGUAAAGCGUGCGCAGGCGGCUUCCUAAGUCAGAUGUGAAAUCCCCGGGCUUAACCUGGGAACUGCGUUUGAAACUGGGGGGCUAGAGUGCGGCAGAGGGGGGUGGAAUUCCACGUGUAGCAGUGAAAUGCGUAGAUAUGUGGAGGAACACCGAUGGCGAAGGCAGCCCCCUGGGCCUGCACUGACGCUCAUGCACGAAAGCCAGGGGAGCAAACGGG
rnacentral:rRNA from 1 species